rnacentral:rRNA from 1 species
AUACGUAGGGUGCAAGCGUUGUUCGGAAUUACUGGGCGUAAAGCGUGCGUAGGCGGCUUUGUAAGUCCGUUGUGAAAUCCCACGGCUCAACUGUGGAACUGCAAUGGAUACUGCAAAGCUAGAGUUCGGGAGAGGCAAGCGGAAUUCCUGGUGAAGGGGUGAAAUCCGUAGAUAUCAGGAAGAACACCGGUGGCGAAGGCGGCUUGCUGGAACGCAACUGACGCUCAGGCACGAAAGCGUGGGGAGCAAACAGGAUUAGAAACCCUAGUAGUCC